rnacentral:tRNA from 1 species
GAACCCGUAGUUUAACCGGAUAAAACACAGGCCCGCUAAGCUCGAGAUGGGAGUCCGAUUCUCCCCGGGUUCA